AGUACCAGAACGAACUGGAUAAAACAGCUUUAAGUCUAAUACACGAGGAAGAAGAAGAAGAAGAAGAAGAGUUGUAACUUCUUUUCUAGCAGAUUUUCGGUACUUCUGUAUGGCGUACAAGGAUGGGCAUUGAUGAAAAUAUCCGCAACGAACAAGAUGGAAGCCUUCGAGAUGCGGUCGCGGGAUCCUCAAUAUACCAUGGACAGCAAGGAUAACCAACCCGAGCAGAAAUUUUAGUAGGGUCCUGGUAGGGGCCAAAUAAGGAUGCCUUAAUGCCUGUUCAGGCACUCAUCAGGCAGCCCUGCUAGGGCCCUGUCCACAAAUGUAACGUCGAGAAUUAAAAUUGCCUGAUCAGAUAUUCCUCAUCAGGACCUUAUCAGGA